AUGAUGGACAGCGACAAGGAAUCGGUCAAGUCCGGCAACGGCGGUUCCAAGGCAAACAUGAACGGCGACAAGGUGAAUAAGAGCGGCAAGUCAGCAACCAGUGAUGGAGGAACGGGCGGCGCCAACGUACAGGUGCAUCGCAACAUCCCCAUCCAGUACCCGAUGCUCACCGAUGCCAACUACGGCGUGUGGGCAGUGAAGAUGAAGAUCAUUCUCCGAACCCUUCGAGUGUGGGAUGCCAUUACGGACGACGACGUCGACGAGGAGUGCGACGAAGGUGCCAUGGCCGCCAUAGCCCAGUCUGCGCCGGAUUCUGUGCUGAUGACAUUGGCGGAGUUUGAGACGGCAAGAGAGGCGUGGAAUGCACUCAAAGUGAUGAGGAUUGAAUAA
rnacentral:rRNA from 1 species